AACGAACGUUGGCGGCCUGGAUUAGGCAUGCAAGUUGAGCGUACCCCGCAAGGGGGAGCAGCGUAAGGGGCAGUAAGGCGUAGGUACCUACCCCGGGGUCGGGCAUAGCCUGUAGAAAUACAGGGUAAUUCCCGAUGACCUCGUGAGAGCAAAGAUUCAUCGCCCCGGGAGGGGCCUACGUGAUAUUAGCUAGUUGGUGGGGUAACGGCCCACCAAGGCGAAGAUGUCUAGCGGGGUGUGAGAGCACGACCCCGCGCCACUGGCACUGAGACACUGGCCAGACACCUACGGGUGGCUGCAGUCGAGGAUCUUCGGCAAUGGGGGCAACCCUGACCGAGCAAGGCCGCGUGUGCGAUGAAGGCCUUCGGUUG
rnacentral:rRNA from 1 species